rnacentral:rRNA from 1 species
UGGCGGACGGGUGAGUAACGCGUGAGAAUCUGGCUUCAGGUUCGGGACAACAGCGGGAAACUGCUGCUAAUACCGGAUGUGCCGAAAGGUGAAAGAUUAAUUGCCUGAAGAUGAGCUCGCGUCUGAUUAGCUAGUUGGUGGGGCAAGAGCCCACCAAGGCGACGAUCAGUAACUGGUCUGAGAGGAUGACCAGUCACACUGGGACUGAGACACGGCCCAGACUCCUACGGGAGGCAGCAGUGGGGAAUUUUCCGCAAUGGGCGAAAGCCUGACGGAGCAAUACCGCGUGAGGGAGGAAGGCUCUUGGGUUGUAAACCUCUUUUCUCAGGGAAGAAAAAAAUGACGGUACCUGAGGAAUAAGCAUCGGCUAACUCCGUGCCAGCAGCCGCGGUAAUACGGAGGAUGCAAGCGUUAUCCGGAAUUAUUGGGCGUAAAGCGUCCGCAGGUGGCAGUCUCAAGUCUGCUGUCAAAGGUCAGGGCUCAACCCUGAACAGGCAGUGGAAACUGAACAGCUAGAGUGCGGUAGGGGCAGAGGGAAUUCCCAGUGUAGCGGUGAAAUGCGUAGAGAUUGGGAAGAACACCGGUGGCGAUAGCGCUCUGCUAGACCGUAACUGACACUCAUGGACGAAAGCUAGGGGAGCGAAUGGGAUUAGAUACCCCAGUAGUCCUAGCCGUAAACGAUGGAUACUAGGCGUUGCGAGUAUCGACCCUCGCAGUGCCGUAGCUAACGCGUUAAGUAUCCCGCCUGGG